UGGGAUGGGCCCGGCAGCCUAACACAUGCAAGUCGAGCGGAUGAGAAGAGCUUGCUCUUCGAUUCAGCGGCGGACGGGUGAGUAAUGCCUAGGAAUCUGCCUGGUAGUGGGGGACAACGUUUCGAAAGGAACGCUAAUACCGCAUACGUCCUACGGGAGAAAGCAGGGGACCUUCGGGCCUUGCGCUAUCAGAUGAGCCUAGGUCGGAUUAGCUAGUUGGUGGGGUAAUGGCUCACCAAGGCGACGAUCCGUAACUGGUCUGAGAGGAUGAUCAGUCACACUGGAACUGAGACACGGUCCAGACUCCUACGGGAGGCAGCAGUGGGGAAUAUUGGACAAUGGGCGAAAGCCUGAUUCAGCCAUGCCGCGUGUGUGAAGAAGGUCUUCGGAUUGUAAAGCACUUUAAGUUGGGAGGAAGGGCAGUAAGCGAAUACCUUGCUGU
rnacentral:rRNA from 1 species